rnacentral:rRNA from 1 species
UACGGAGGGUGCAAACGUUGCUCGGAAUCAUUGGGCGUAAAGCGCACGUAGGCGGCGCGGUAAGUCGGGUGUGAAAUCUCGGAGCUUAACUCCGAAACUGCAUUCGAUACUGCCGUGCUUGAGGACUGGAGAGGAGACUGGAAUUUACGGUGUAGCGGUGAAAUGCGUAGAUAUCGAGAGGAACACCAGUGGCGAAGGCGAGUCCCUGGACAGUUCCUGACACUGAGGCACGAAAGCUAGGGGAGCAAACAGG